rnacentral:rRNA from 1 species
CCAACAGGGAUUCCCUUAGUAAGUGCGACUGAAACGGGAUGAGCCCAGCGCAUAACCUCGUAGGCCACUAACCAUGGCACGAGGGGUGUUGCGUUUCAGAGGGUCUAGCACACCAUCUGCUACCGCCUAAGUUGUAAUUUGAAUAUGGCCAAUGCCCUUGGAUGGUGAUAGGCCCGUAUGGCGGCGCCCGUGAGGGUAAUGGUAAGAUGGUGGAAAGGACCUCUCUGUAGAGUCGGGUUGCUUGGUAUUGCAGCCCAAAGUAGGUGGUAAACUCCAUCUAAGGCUAAAUAUGACCACGAGA